rnacentral:rRNA from 1 species
UACGUAGGGGGCAAGCGUUGUCCGGAAUUAUUGGGCGUAAAGAGCGUGUAGGCGGCCAGAUAAGUCCGCUGUGAAAUCUCGAGGCUCAACUUCGAGCUGUCGGUGGAAACUAUCUGGCUAGAGUCCGGAAGAGGAGAAUGGAAUUCCCGGUGUAGCGGUGAAAUGCGCAGAUAUCGGGAAGAACACCCGUGGCGAAGGCGGUUCUCUGGGACGGUACUGACGCUGAGACGCGAAAGCGUGGGGAGCGAACAGG